rnacentral:lncRNA from 1 species
UAAUAAAGAAAUGAUAUCACAUGCUCUCACCAAGAUGAAAUAAAUAUGCCCUCAGCUUAAAAAUAAUACGAUCUCAAGUCAAAUAAAAACUGUUAGUCAACCCAAUUUAUUUAUUUAUUUUUUUUAUAUGCACCACUCCAUCUUUUUAGGCCAUAUAACUAGCUUCUACUUCAGAUUAUAGUUCCCUAAAAUCAGGAAGGACUUUUAUUAGGAUGUAACGUAGGCUAGGGACAUGGUUAACAAAGAA